ACUAAUGAUGAGCAAAUUAUUCACACUGUGUUAGUUCUGUUUAGUUACAGGGCGGUGAUCACAACAAAUAAAAAAACUGAUUUAAUGACUCUGAGU
rnacentral:snoRNA from 1 species